rnacentral:lncRNA from 1 species
UGUCUCAACAUCUGUAUGGAGGAGACUGGAGAUGACUGACCCCAGCAGCCAAGGUGUUGGAGCAGCUCAUAGGCCAGACCCCUGUGUUCUCCAAAGUCAAAUACAUUGUCAGAUCCUUUGGCAUCAGGAGAAGUGAAGAUUGCCACCCACUGCACAAAGGGCCAAAGCAGAAGAAACCCUGAAGAAAGGUCUAAAGAUGCAGGAGUGUGAAUCAAGAAAGAACAACUUCUCAGAUACUGGAAACUUUGGUUUGGAGAUCCAGGAACACACAGAUUUGGGUAUCAAAUGUGACCCAUGCAUUGGUAUCUACAGCCUGGACUUCUGUAUGGUGCUGGGUAGGCCUGGUUUCAGCACUGCAGACACAUAGCACAGAACAGGCUGCACUGGGGCCAAACACAGAAUCAACAAAGAGGCCAUGCACUGGUUCCAAAAAGAA